rnacentral:rRNA from 1 species
AACAGGAUUAGAUACCCUGGUAGUCCACGCCGUAAACGAUGUCUACUUGGAGGCUGUGCCCUUGAGGCGUGGCUUCCGGAGCUAACGCGUUAAGUAGACCGCCUGGGGAGUACGGCCGCAAGGUUAAAACUCAAAUGAAUUGACGGGGGCCCGCACAAGCGGUGGAGCAUGUGGUUUAAUUCGAUGCAACGCGAAGAACCUUACCUACUCUUGACAUCCAGAGAAUUUGCUAGAGAUAGCUUAGCGCCUUCGGGAACUCUGAGACAGGUGCUGCACGGCUGUCGUCAGCUCGUGUUGUGAAAUGUUGGGUUAAGUCCCGCAACGAGCGCAACCCUUAUCCUUUGUUGCCAGCACGUAAUGGUGGGAGCUCAAAGGAGACUGCCGGUGAUAAACCGGAGGAAGGUGGGGAUGACGUCAAGUCAUCAUGGCCCUUACGAGUAGGGCUACACACGUGCUACAAUGGCAUAUACAAAGAGAAGCGAACUCGCGAGAGCAAGCGGACCUCAUAAAGUAUGUCGUAGUCCGGAUUGGAGUCUGCAACUCGACUCCAUGAAGUCGGAAUCGCUAGUAAUCGUAGAUCAGAAUGCCACGGUGUAUACGUUCCCGGGCCUUGUACACACCGCCCGUCACACCAUGGGAGUGGGUUGCAAAAGAAGUAGGUAGCUUAACCUUCGGGAGGGCGCUUACCACUUUGUGAUUCAUGACUGGGGUGAAGUCGUAACAAGGUAACC